UUGAAGAGUUUGAUCAUGGCUCAGAUUGAACGCUGGCGGCAGGCCUAACACAUGCAAGUCGAGCGGAAACGAGUUAUCUGAACCUUCGGGGAACGAUAACGGCGUCGAGCGGCGGACGGGUGAGUAAUGCCUAGGAAAUUGCCCUGAUGUGGGGGAUAACCAUUGGAAACGAUGGCUAAUACCGCAUGAUGCCUACGGGCCAAAGAGGGGGACCUUCGGGCCUCUCGCGUCAGGAUAUGCCUAGGUGGGAUUAGCUAGUUGGUGAGGUAAGGGCUCACCAAGGCGACGAUCCCUAGCUGGUCUGAGAGGAUGAUCAGCCACACUGGAACUGAGACACGGUCCAGACUCCUACGGGAGGCAGCAGUGGGGAAUAUUGCACAAUGGGCGCAAGCCUGAUGCAGCCAUGCCGCGUGUGUGAAGAAGGCCUUCGGGUUGUAAAGCACUUUCAGUCGUGAGGAAGGUAGUGUAGUUAAUAGCUGCAUNAUUUGACGUUAGCGACAGAAGAAGCACCGGCUAACUCCGUGCCAGCAGCCGCGGUAAUACGGAGGGUGCGAGCGUUAAUCGGAAUUACUGGGCGUAAAGCGCAUGCAGGUGGUUUGUUAAGUCAGAUGUGAAAGCCCGGGGCUCAACCUCGGAAUUGCAUUUGAAACUGGCAGACUAGAGUACUGUAGAGGGGGGUAGAAUUUCAGGUGUAGCGGUGAAAUGCGUAGAGAUCUGAAGGAAUACCGGUGGCGAAGGCGGCCCCCUGGACAGAUACUGACACUCAGAUGCGAAAGCGUGGGGAGCAAACAGGAUUAGAUACCCUGGUAGUCCACGCCGUAAACGAUGUCUACUUGGAGGUUGUGGCCUUGAGCCGUGGCUUUCGGAGCUAACGCGUUAAGUAGACCGCCUGGGGAGUACGGUCGCAAGAUUAAAACUCAAAUGAAUUGACGGGGGNCCGCACAAGCGGUGGAGCAUGUGGUUUAAUUCGAUGCAACGCGAAGAACCUUACCUACUCUUGACAUCCAGAGAACUUUCCAGAGAUGGAUUGGUGCCUUCGGGAACUCUGAGACAGGUGCUGCAUGGCUGUCGUCAGCUCGUGUUGUGAAAUGUUGGGUUAAGUCCCGCAACGAGCGCAACCCUUAUCCUUGUUUGCCAGCGAGUAAUGUCGGGAACUCCAGGGAGACUGCCGGUGAUAAACCGGAGGAAGGUGGGGACGACGUCAAGUCAUCAUGGCCCUUACGAGUAGGGCUACACACGUGCUACAAUGGCGCAUACAGAGGGCAGCCAACUUGCGAAAGUGAGCGAAUCCCAAAAAGUGCGUCGUAGUCCGGAUUGGAGUCUGCAACUCGACUCCAUGAAGUCGGAAUCGCUAGUAAUCGUGGAUCAGAAUGCCACGGUGAAUACGUUCCCGGGCCUUGUACACACCGCCCGUCACACCAUGGGAGUGGGCUGCNAAAGAAGUAGGUAG
rnacentral:rRNA from 1 species